ACUUCUCGUGUUGGGUCAGUCCUAGCACAUGUCUCCACAUGUGCCCACGUUAUUAGUUCAACAUCUCCAUGUCGAUGACUUGUGAAACAUAGUCAUCAACUAAUACAUGUGCUAGUCUAAUAUUCAUGUGUGUCCUCACAUGAACUCCGACUAGGAACAACUUUAGAAUAACCAUACAAGUAAAGAGUUUCACAUACAAUUCACAUAAUUGCAAAUCAAUUCAAGUAGCCUUUAAUGGAUAUUCAAGGAACACAAUACAAAUCAUGGAUACAAAUGGAAUAUCAUCAUCUCUAUAAUUGCCUCUAGGGCAUACCUCCAACAGUCUCCC
rnacentral:lncRNA from 1 species